GAUGAAGAACGUAGCAAAAUGCGAUAAGUAAUGUGAAUUGCAGAAUUCAGUGAAUCAUCGAAUCUUUGAACGCACAUUGCGCCCGCCAGUAUUCUGGCGGGCAUGCCUGUUCGAGCGUUAUUUCAACCCUCAAGCACAGCUUGGUGUUGGGACUCGCGUUAAUUCGCGUUCCCCAAAUUGAUUGGCGGUCACGUCGAGCUUCCAUAGCGUAGUAGUAAAACCCUCGUUACUGGUAAUCGUCGCGGCCACGCCGUUAAACCCCAACUUCUGAAUGUUGACCUCGGAUCAGGUAGGAAUACCCGCUGAACUUAAGCAUAUCAAUAAGCGGAGGA
rnacentral:misc_RNA from 1 species